rnacentral:rRNA from 1 species
CCUUUUGUAUAAUGGGUCAGCGACUUAUAUUCUGUAGCAAGGUUAACCGAAUAGGGGAGCCGAAGGGAAACCGAGUCUUAACUGGGCGUUAAGUUGCAGGGUAUAGACCCGAAACCCGGUGAUCUAGCCAUGGGCAGGUUGAAGGUUGGGUAACACUAACUGGAGGACCGAACCGACUAAUGUUGAAAAAUUAGCGGAUGACUUGUGGCUGGGGGUGAAAGGCCAAUCAAACCGGGAGAUAGCUGGUUCUCCCCGAAAGCUAUUUAGGUAGCGCCUCGUGAAUUCAUCUCCGGGGGUAGAGCACUGUUUCGGCAAGGGGGUCAUCCCGACUUACCAACCCGAUGCAAACUGCGAAUACCGGAGAAUGUUAUCACGGGAGACACACGGCGGGUGCUAACGUCCGUCGUGAAGAGGGAAACAACCCAGACCGCCAGCUAAGGUCCCAAAGUCAUGGUUAAGUGGGAAACGAUGUGGGAAGGCCCAGACAGCCAGGAUGUUGGCUUAGAAGCAGCCAUCAUUUAAAGAAAGCGUAAUAGCUCACUGGUCGAGUCGGCCUGCGCGGAAGAUGUAACGGGGCUAAACCAUGCACCGAAGCUGCGGCAGCGACACUAUGUGUUGUUGGGUAGGGGAGCGUUCUGUAAGCCUGUGAAGGUGUGCUGUGAGGCAUGCUGGAGGUAUCAGAAGUGCGAAUGCUGACAUAAGUAACGAUAAAGCGGGUGAAAAGCCCGCUCGCCGGAAGACCAAGGGUUCCUGUCCAACGUUAAUCGGGGCAGGGUGAGUCGACCCCUAAGGCGAGGCCGAAAGGCGUAGUCGAUGGGAAACAGGUUAAUAUUCCUGUACUUGGUGUUACUGCGAAGGGGGGACGGAGAAGGCUAUGUUGGCCGGGCGACGGUUGUCCCGGUUUAAGCGUGUAGGCUGGUUUUCCAGGCAAAUCCGGAAAAUCAAGGCUGAGGCGUGAUGACGAGGCACUACGGUGCUGAAGCAACA